rnacentral:tRNA from 1 species
GGGAUUGUGGCUCAGAGGUACAGCGCUUGCCUAGCAUGCGUGAGGCACUAUGUUCGAUCCUCCUGGGUUUGAUCUCA